GUGGCACCUAACAACCAUAACGGCUCACUGGCAAGCUCGUCGACCCAUUAUAUUGGUGUGGAGCAAGAGACAACGCCCGCACGGGAGGUGAGGAGACUUCAUCCUUCAUAGAGAAGCUCCUUAGUAAAGACAAUGUCAAAGAUUUACCGAAAGAGAGGGAACGGCGACACUUGCUUUUGUAGUAAGUUCCUCAUCCGGCUUGCAAGAGACUUUGGGGUGUGCCCAAAACCUCAAUAGAGGGAGCUUUAUUGACUUGGUGCCUAUGUUUGGUAUAGCUCGAACAUGGACUAAAAAUAGCAUUUGCCUAUUGAUACCAGAGAUAAAUAUAUUCUAAAUUUAUAUUUGUGUAUUGUAGUGGAAACCAUAUAUUAA
rnacentral:lncRNA from 1 species